UGGUGUGCCUGAGCCCCCUCCCUUGUUGUCCCCCACUUCCCACCUCUAGGUAUGCUGCCUUCUUUCCUGCCUGUACUAUGCUACCGCUGGCCGAACCUAACUGCACCCUUGCUCCACGUGGCUCCCAGCCUGCUCUCUGCCUGAGUGGUCAGCUUGGCUCUAACCAGCCCAUAAUUGUAGAGCAGUUGCUGGUGCCAAGACUUUCUGGCUGCCUGCAGGGAGGAGGAGGCUUCAGGACCAAGGCAACAAGGAAAGUGACUACUCCGGGAUCAGGGCACACAAUCUGCAAGAAAGCUUUUGCAGGAGAACAGCUGUAGACUUGACAAAGCUAUCUCCACUUUCCCUGUUAGAGCAUCACCUGGAUGGGCCUCCCAGCAAGCCUCAGAGGUGCUGCUGACACAGGUCUGCCCUCACGCAUCAGCAGCAGAGCAACCAGUGCCAACUGUCCACAACAGGCCACACACUUUCUUAUUAAACUCAUUAAGUACACAUGAA